AUACCGCUUUCAUCCGCUAGUCGACGGGCCGUGGUCUGCUCCCCGCAGUGUACAGCCGAGGCGCAGAGUCCCUCCGGGGAAAAGCCCCGUGGCGCCUGAGGGUGUCUGCUCCCAACCGGACCUGCGGACGUUCCAUAUGCAAUACACUGCACGACUUUUUCAUGCAUAUUCCACCCCUGGCCCCGCCUGUCCUCGCUUCUCAUGCCAAAGCUGUCACAGAGCAGAAGGGCAGAUGAGAUGC